AGGGCACGGCCUGGAAGAGGCGGCGGGAGGCAGCGCCCUGCGGGGCCGCGGCGCGCAGGGCUGGGCCGCUCCCUUCCUCGGGCUGUCCUUGGGAAGGAAUGAAGCGUCAAACAGUCAUCUCGUACCUACGACAGCCCCUUACCAGGGAACGAAUGGGGGGGUCUUUACAGGUUUCUUAAAAGUAUCCCACAAAGUCACAUAAUUUGCGUUUCUAAGGUUCCCUUUCAAAACCGGGACAGACUUAGUCCAUUCGUAAAUGAAAAAGUUCCUGUUACUCGGCACCUCGUCAUCAUUUGAUUAUUCACUUAGAAGAAGUAUCGACAUCCCUGACCGGGGCUGUAAGAAGGAGGAAGGUUGUGCAACGCCAAUGGAUUUUGUACACCAAGUAACCGGGUGAUCUUAACGUGCUGUAUCUCAGACCCCUGCAGAGCUGGAAGAACCUCACAAAUCACAUUUUUACAGGGGCCUGGCAUGACGUUAUGUGUCAAAUGCAUUUAUUGCUCUAAAAUGCCCAGUAAUGCAAAUAAAUUUUAUCAAGUC